CAUUUUUUUCCCUUUUUUGCUUGCUAAUUGUCGAAACGCAUUGGUGCGAUUCUCAAGAUAUGAAAAAUACAUUACUAACGAACCGUUUUCGAUAAUCUUUUUAAAUUUUUUAUCGCAUUUUCAUACACCAAAUGCUUUAUCUUAUUUUAUUCACAUUUGUGAAUUUAAACUGAUACAGAUUUUAAUUUUUGUAAGGUAAACCAUUCCAUGUUAAUUCAUUUUUUGUUUGAGUUUUUUAGGUCCGUUCUUAUCAUCGAAGGUACCACCGUCUACAAUAUCAGUCUCUAUCUUCGUAACGCAAGGAAUAUAUUUUUUUGAUAAUUUUACGUAAAUGCGAAAUCAUUUAAAUUUUUUUCAAGCUUCACUAAAAAUUGUGUACCGAUGUUUCUUAGAAAAACGAUUUCGCAUUCACGAAUUGUUAACGAUCAAUAUUAAUACAUUUUUUUCAAUUUAUAGAUUCGCUCUUCACGAAUAAAAUUCUGCGCAACAGAAUAGGUACUAUCAAAAAUGGACAGUUCCACCUAAACAGACGACCGCGACCUUACGAAGAAUUCUCACCUGCGAAGAUAAUUAUUAAUCAAUAUUUGAAAUGUAAAUUUUUCUUUAAAUACCUAAAUCAUAAUAAAUGUAAAAUCAAAUUUC